GGCAGUGGUAGCUCAGUGGUUAUAGUGUUGGUCUAUUGUUCAGAAGGUCAUGUGUUCAAACCCCAGCACCACCA